CCGCACCGCACCUUACUCGAAACUCGCUCGCUCACCAGUGCGGCGCACAUCUCCUUGCUCAUCCAUUUUUGCGCUCUUGGCCGCGUGUCUUCGCAUCGAGGGCUCCUGCAUUGCACCGUGCUCACGUGAGCAGCCGCCGCUUGUGGCGCAAGUCCGUGGCGUGAGACUGUGUCUGGCUGAGCAUCAGACGGCCUCCGCUUUCGCUGCCCCUCGUCUCUGCCGACACCUCUCCAGCUCUUACACGCACACGCCGCAUCACAACCUCCCCCUCGGCCCGUUUUGCAUCUCUCGCGCCUCCCUCGCCUCUCCUCGGCCCACCCGACCCGAUUGCUGCGACGUUGCUUAACAGAGGGAUGGAGAGGCGGACGUCAGCACGCCGCGCACUGGUGUGCGUGGCGUCUGCGGCACUGGCACUCGCGCUGCUCAUCCCGGCGGCAUGCGGCUUCGCCGGUGCUGCUGCUGCGGCGUCGAUAACGGUGACGACGACGCCGUCGCUGCCGCUGCUCGACGUGCCGUUCCACGCGGACGUGGCGGGUGCCGGCAAGGGGCACAGUGUGUUUGUCUCCAGUCAGAGCGACUGCAGUGGUGCCUCGAAGGUGACGCCGGUGUGCACCCUUGGGAGUGCGGUGGAUGGCGUCAGCUUCGUGAAUGGGACGUGCGUGUUCCAUGUGACGAGCGAGGCGCUGAGUGUCGACUUGACGAGGCCCCGCCCCACGGUUCCCGUACUGUACUGGUGCAGCAGCGCUCAUCCCGGCGCGUCGGUGGGCGCGCUGCAGAUGAGCGUGGUGAGCACAGUUCCUCUGUUUUUCUACAGAGCGGAGUACAACGAGCUCACCUUCAGCGACGCGACGCCUCUUGGAAGCAUCGUUAGCUGGUCCUCGUCUCCGGAUUGCGGCAGCCCUUUGCCGAACCACGCGAACGCGGUGCUGGACAGCAGCCGCGUUGUGCUUCUGACGUACAGUGGCGAUACUGUGUACGUCUGUGCCACGAUCCCCACCGUGUCGGGGACCAUGACAGCGCUGGCACUCCGUGCGGCCGUAAUAGGCACGUACCUCUACAGGAUCAGCCCCACGAGUGGGGUGCGCCAUCGCACCAUCAGCAUGACGACGACGAUAACGGAAUCCAUUGCAAUGAUUUCUGUCUCACAUGAUCCGUACUGCCGCACACUCGAACAACCAGGGAAGCUCUACGCCUCCUUGACAUCUUUUGAUUUUGAGUGGAGCGUCACCGCCGGUGUCUACUACUUGUGCGUUAUCACGAACAAGGACGUCGGCCUGCCCUCGUCAAACACCUUCACAGUGGAGGAGUACGACGUGCAGCCGCACACGAUGUACGCGGCCCGCGAGACUCCGCUGACCUACGCCCUGAGUGCGGCUGGCCGUGAGGAGGAGCUGGAGACGGCGCUGUCGACGACGACGGACUGCAUUGGAGGCUCGCUGGUGGUUCCUUGGGGAGCAUCGAUGUCGUGGGCAGUGCCAAAGGUGGGCACGUACUACGCGUGCGUACGGGACCGCGGUGCGGCGAGCACUGCCGGGCACACGAGCGCGAUCACUGUGACGGACCUGCCGACGCUGACGUUCUCGCCGUCGCCUGCGGUGCUGGGUCUGCCGGUGUCUGUGACGGUCAGCCACACGCUCAGCAGGAAGAAUGUGUUCCGCGUGCGCGUUUCGAAGGGCGCGGGGUGCGACUCGGCGGGUGCGACGGGUGCGACGCCGCGUGGCAGUGCUACUGCGAUGGUACGGGCGCCGCUCGGGAUGCCGGCGAGCGUUACCUACUGCGUCUCGAACCCGCUGGAAGACGGCGACGACGGCGCUGACACACCUGUCGGCGGUGCUGUGUACCACGCGCUGGGCGCGCUGCGCACACGAACGUACCGCGUGGGCCACGGCGCCUUGCUCACGAACACGCGAAUGGAAAUGCUGCUGGACAGCGAGGUGCUGCUUCCCAGGGGGACGACUGUGCUGCUUGUGCCGUCGAAUAGGGCGAGCGGCACUUGCCCGGAGGCGAUGGCGGCUGCCGACGCUGCUGGUGCAGACGAGUCCAUGACGUUUGAUGUCUCCGGUGCGUCGGCGGUACUGUCACCUGUGGUGUUCGCGUCCUCGGGUGCGUGGCUGGUGUGCGUGCGAGACGGUGUCGGGGACGAUGCCGGCUACACUGCGGCUGCACAGGUGCAGGUGUACAGUGACGCGGCGGCCUUAUCGACGGACACGGUGCUGAACGGCGUGAGAACGGAAGUUGUUGUGACGCAUUUGCCGCCUGAGGCGCCGGUGACGGUGACGUCAAGCAUCACGUGCGGUUUGUCGAUGGAGUCCGUGGGCGCCGGCACGACGAACAGCAGGGGCGUCGUGACGCUGAACGUGCAGUCAGCCUCGGCAGGGCCGCUGCUGGUGUGCGCGGGGUACCCCACGGCCUCAGAGUCACCGGCGACGGAUAUUGGCAUUGAGUAUGCCCCCGCCGGAACCGUGCGGAGCGCGAACACGCGCGUGUAUCCAAGCAUCGCGUACGUGAGCGAGACGACGACGCUGAGCUUCGCCGGGGUCGGCGGCAUGUCGCUGACGGGCUACUUCGCUUUCUUCCUGCCUCAUGCGACGUCGUGCAGCGAGCCCGACGCGACGGUUUUGGGCUCGGGACUGAAGGGGCCGGACGCGACGUCGACCGUGUCGUACGGGACGGUGAGUGGCAGUGCGCUGGAACGGGGAACCUUGUACCGCGUGUGCGUGGGGCGAUCCAUAGGCGACGGCUACUGCGAUGCCGGCGUUGUUGCGGCGAUGGAGGUGCCGCCGGUGUCGACGGACCCGCCGGUGCCAGUGCGCGGGCUGCCCGUGCGGCUGCAGCUGCCGCCGAGCUUCACGAGCACUGCUGCUGUGACGUUUUACGUUGUGGUGGGCGGCACGGCGAGGUGCAGCGACGACCUGAGCGGGACCCGUGUGUACGGGAGCGGGCCUGUGGACCGUGCGAGCGGCGCUGCGUCUGCGUUCGUGGCGCCUGCGCGUGCGAGCGGCGUGGACGCCGUGCGCGUGUGCGUCGGGUCGAACGAGAGCCUCGUGUCGGACAGCCUGGGGUACGCGCAUGGCGCGACGCUGCGGCUGGAGCAGUUCCACACAUCGAUGGUGUACCUGCAGCGCGGCGUGCCGAACGUGCUGUCCGGUGCGCCGAUGGCCGCGACGGGGUCGCUGUACGUUGUCGCGUGCGACGGGAAGGAGUGCGACGCUGACAACGCUGACGGCGUGUGCCGCGCGAAGAUGUCGCAGGGCGCGACGAGCUCUGCGACGGCUGCGCUGGAUGCGCCGCUGGGGCGGUGCCUGCUGUGCCAGCGCGUGACGGUGGGCACGGUGGUGUCGGUGGUGGGCUCGAACACGACGGUGGAGGUGGUGGAGCCGUUUAAGAUGCGCCUCUCCGUAGACCCCUCUGCCAUUCGCGCGUACGUGCCGUUCGCAGUGACCAUGUCGGGCGGCCCUGGCGGCGCGGGGGCGAAGUACACGGUGGUGGCGCAGCCCGCCUCUACUCCGUGCGGCAAGACGGCUGCCGAGUCACAGCGCUUUACCAUGGGCAGAGACACCACGGACAUCACCAUCACGGACAUCGUGCCGAUGCAAAACAUCUGCUUCUGCGUGCAACCGUCCCCUGCCGACAGCUUCGAGGUGCUGACGGGCACGCUGCGGCACUACAUGACGCCUGCAGCUGUGAUCGGCGACCGCGCGACGACGCUGACGUCUGGCGGUGUGAUUAGGGGCGCCACGGCGGUGCUGUCGCGCACGGCGGACUGCCUCAGCGUCGUGGCUGGCGGCGGCGCUGCGCCGAUUGUGGACGCGAGGGUGACGUUCACUGUCACGUCGUGCGGCGCGAACGGAGCGCUGGCGUCGCUGUACUACUGCGAGGCUGCUAGCGGGGGUGCGUACGCGUCCCGCGGUGCGGUGGGACUGCUGCGCGCGAGCGGGUGCAGCGGCGGCGCGGAUGCGAGCAUUGCCGAGGUGAACGCGGCGCCUGGCGCUGCGAUCGGCAGCUUCGGGAUCGACGCCGCGUACCUGGCGAGGCCGCGGCUGUCUGCGUCGCCGGACUGCGGCGUGCUGCUGGACGCAGCUGUUGCGAGCGUUGGGUACGCGCCCGGGGCUGGCGAGCGCGCUGCGUUCCACGUGUGCGCCGUGCUUGUGGGCGACGCGAGCGUGACGUUCACGACGGCGCGCCCGACGCUGCGCGUUGCGAACUGGGCCGUGACGCCGACUGCUGCUGUGAGCCAGUACAACGCGACGCUUGGCGCUGCUGCUGCUACUGCGGUGCGCGUGAACUACGCGACGCCGUCGAGCGAGACGUUCCUGAGCACUGCGAGCGACUGCAGCGUGCGGACGGCGAGCGCGGCGGGGCUGAGCGGGGCGUCGAAGGCGGCGACGUACAGCACGACCGGCGUGCGCGGGCUUGUGCACGUGUGCACUGUUGCGCCGCUGAGCGGGAAGACGCUGGCGGUUGCGCAGUUCCUGUCCGUGACGCCGCCUGCUGUGCUGCGUGUGUCGCCGGCUGUUGUGCGCGGCGGCGAGUACAGCGCGACGCUUGUGGUGGACGGUGCGCCGCCGCUGUACUCGAUGGUGCCUGGCGCGGACAGCGGGUACACGCACAGUGGCUACUACACGAGCGCGAGCCGCGAGGUGUACCUGUCCGGGGACGCGUGCUCGGGCGUGCUUGCGGGGACGAGCGCGGCGACGGUGACGUCGAGCGGCAGCGUGUCGUUUGCGACGGCGGGCGUUGCGGCGAGCGUGAGCGCUGUGUGGCUGUGCGCGGUGACGGCUGCGGGGCCCGCGGUUGUGCUGGCUGGCGUGGCUGUUGCGCCCGGCAGGGUGCACCCGACGACAAUGGUGUCGGGCGCACUGGGUGCGCCUGUCUUCAUACCGAGCCUGAAGGGCACGGCGGUGCAGCUGAGCGCGUCUGCGAGCGGGUGCGGGUCUGUUGCUGGGAUGCCGAGCUUCACAACGGACGCGGAGGGCUACGGCGCUGUGGACCUUGUGGGCGGCGACGGCGGCGCGCUUGCGCCGGGCACGUACACGCUGUGCUACGGCGGUGCGCCGCGUGGCGGUGCUGCGGCGCUGGAGUCGGUGGAGCUUGUGCGCGCGUCGUACUUCGACGUGCGCGGGACGACGUUUGUUGUCGGCGUGGCGAGCCGGAUGCCGCUGCUGCAGGACCUGACUGCUGCGGCGCUUGUGCCCGGGUUCAGCACCGCGCGCGACUGCACGUCUGUGUCGAGUGAGCACGGCGAGUGGGCUGCUGUGACGAGCACGUCUGUGUCUGUGACUGCGACGAGCGUGUACACUGCUGGGCUGUACCUGUGCGCGCGUGCGCCGGUGAACGGGACGCUUGUGGCGCUGCCCGGGCGGUGGUCUGGGGCGCGGAGCGUGCAGUUCGUUGCGUCUGCGAUGCAGCUGCCGUCUGCUGGGUGGGACGCGUGCACGACGUACACGCUGGACCAGUGCUACCCGCCGGGUGCGAGCGCGAGCGGUGCGACGUCGGUGGUUGCUGUUGUGCACGGGGACUGCUGCAGCGAGUCGAGCCGGAGCGCGGUUGUCGGGGAGGCGAGCAUGGCGAGCGGGACGUGCGAGCUGACGCUGGACUACGACAAGGUGUCCGCGUACCCCGCGGGAUCGACGUACCACGUGUGCGUGUGGGACAGCGCGGACGACUCUGUGUGCACGACCGUGAGCGAGGCGUGCGUGAGCACGAACUGCACGCGCGGUGGCGGCGGUGGCCGGGGGCUGAGCCGUGGCGCGGUGGCGGGGGUGGCGGUGGCGUGCAUUGUGUGUGGCGCUGUGGUGGGGUUGAGCUUGUUCGCGGUGUGGUACUUCUGUCUGUGCAGUGCGCCUGGUGGUGGUGCGGAGGCGGCAGAGGACAGUGAAAAGGCGAGUGGGACGGAGAACGAUGGUUUGGCAAGCCGUAGCUGGUUGAGCUCCUUUACGGAACACUGGGAGACGACGGUGAGCACCCCGGACGGUAGUGCGUUUCCGGAGGAGGGUCACGAGCUCGGCGACGAGCUGCAGAGAUCGGGCAAUUCGGGACCUGUGUUUGGCGAUCAUCCCGUGAUGAGGAGUGCGUCACGCAGGCGCGAGUCUGGCUUGGACGUGUCGGCGAGGCUUUCCAUGGAGUCGGUAUCUGAGGUUCCGCUAGCGCCGCUGACGGUGAUGAGGGUGGCGCAGCUUAGGAAGGGGAGCGGCUCGUGUCGGUCAUCGAUGACGCAGCAGAUUGAGAUGUGGCGGCGUGCUGUAAAACCCGAAUCAGCCUCAGAGGCGCUGUCAGCGGUGCUGCCCAACGCAUCGCCGCGGGAAGAGCCCUCGAUUCCGCACAUUCACCGCGUGCUGCCGCCGGCGGGUGAGCUGAAGGCGCCGUUCAAGCCGCUACAACGGGCCCCGCUGGCGGCAGCCGCAGAGUCGUCGCUGCUUUCUCCGCCAGCACCGAUGCCGUGGCCUCAGCCGGCAUCUCAGACGCCGCCGCAACAGAUGCCGCAACAAACCCGCCCGUCAGACGUGCAGAGCUGGAAGCCUCUGUCCCCUCAACCGCAGACGUCCGCGUCAACGCGGAGCCGAAACCCCUUGCGCUCUGUUUUCUCGCUCGAUCUGCCUCUGGGGGAGUCGGUGCCGUGGAUCUUGUCGGAGGGCGGCAGCAGCUCGGAGAAGGCGGUGGUGUCUCUUGUGCAGUGCUCCCCGCGCGGUACCGCACCACCAUUUGAGGCCACAGGGCCGACGGCGCGGCACUUGCGAACGGUGCGUGAACAGGGCAGACUCCUUCAGCGCAACAAGGAGGAUAUACGACAAUGGCUGCAGAGUACGGUGGUGGUCCCCGAGGUGCAGGGCUGCCGGGAGCAGCUCGCCGCCAACGCUCGCAGCAACGCACCACAGCCACCACCACCGGUACCGCCGCAGGGGCCCGCCAGCCGGGAAAAGACGCCGCCGGCCCUGAGGACUCAGAAACCCGUCCCCUUCGAGAAGGCGCGAGCAAUGCCGGCACCACAGAGCACUGUGCCUGGAGUCGCGCGCACCAACGCCGCCGGCGCAGCACCGCUACGGCCUGCGCAGCCGCCGCCGUGGCCGCUUCCAGAAGGGCGCCACCCGUCGCUCGGGUGUGGCUUCAAUGCCGUACAGUUCCCCACCGCUCCUCGCAGUGACACCGUCUCCUUCGACGUGUCCUCUGACACUAACGGGCUACUGCGACCGCCACAGUGUACGCCAGCCACGGCGGCGGCGGAUGCGGCCCGGCUUACGCGAAAGCCCAGCAUGACUCGGCUACCCCAGCCGCCGUCACAGUCAAGCGAAUAUCCGGUGAUGUACUCCGAUUACGGGCCGACUGGCAUCAUCGGCCCCGCGGUGAUGGCCGGCUGGCCUCGGCCCCGCGAAGGGCAACGGUGAAAGCCCCACGAAUCACGGAGAGUAGCGCAACCAUGGCUCCAGUGAGUCGUCGCCGUCGGAUGGGGGCGCUGUGGAUGAGUUUGACCGGCAUGAGAGCCGACCGCAACAGCUUUCGUGAUGGCGCCGCCAUGCUUUGUGUUCCCCGCCUCUCUGCAAGUCCGUGACGGCUGGCGGAUGCAAAACCAGCGCACCCGCUCGCACCCGUUUUUCGUAUUCGUUUCUUCGAACUCGUAUCGUCAGUGCCGUUGGCGAACCUCUGUGCCCCGCUUAUGGGUGUCGCAGGUCUGCUUCGCUUCGCUCUGCGCCUGCUCCCCACCUCCCCCCUAUCACUCUCUCUUUCUCUGUCCAUGCCCGUGCCACCUGCGCCGACACGCGACACUCCCCCCCCUCCCACCCCCUCUCUGCGCCCAAUGAAGGCCCCGCGUUUCCGCCAUGGCUCAUGCUUGUGGCGGGGGAAAGCACUGCUCUCGUGACGCUCUCCCCAUCUCCCUUGUAGGCACGGGCGCGUGCUCGUGAGUGUUCGCUGCUUUCGUGCUCGACUCGUUGAGGUGUUGGCUGCCUGUAUGCCGAGUUGCUGCCUUUUUCCACCGCGCUGCCACUGUCUUUCUCAGCGGCUCUUUUCCAUGGCUCAUCGCCCCUUGCCUCGCCUCGCCUCGCGCUGUGCGUCAUGUCUUUGAAUGCCAUGCGCGCGCUCUUACACAGGCAGAGGCGCGCACAAGAGACGCACUGAAAAACAUAGUAUGCGUCUGAGAUGCUUCUCUGUGGGCGUGCGCGUGCGCAUGCGUCUCGAACGCGUGAGGGUGCAGGGGCGCUCAUCAUCUCCUCUUGUCGUUCCCACUCCUUCAUGUUUGUUCUCUGUCCGUUCCAGCCUCCCCUCUUGCUCCGAUCUCUUGCUUUCUUGCGUUCUCAUGUCUUUUUUUCUCUGGGGCGCCGACGACGCUGCAGCUGGUGAUGUAAGCAUGCGCUUAUUAGGACGAUCUGCGCCACGACGCCGCGUGUCGGGCACGCCCUGCCACAUCUCUCUUCUCGUUUCUAUCUUGUAGCUUGCUUGAGCGCGUGUGUGUGCGUGCCCGCUUGUCGUCCUUCCUUUCUCGUCCUUCUCUUCUUCAUUGAUCACUCUUGUUGUUGACGGAUAUGCCCCUACUCUCUGUGCGUAUAUCGUUUUCUUGGUCUCUCUCUGUCCCUCUCGAUGUAUCUGUGUGCGUGUGUGCCGCGCCCUCAAUUUCGUUCUCUGUUUUUGUUUCUCUUUUUACCUUCCACACCUCUACUCCUCGCUUUUUCAUUCAUCGUGUUUAUUCGCUAUGUUGUGCCUCAUCCUCCCCCUCUCUUUUCUGGUCGUCUUCUCGCUGGUGCCCUCUCCAUCCGCAAGCACCGCGUUCGCGUAUUUCUUCACCUCUCUGCCUUUUUGUUUUUUUCGCCCCUCGAUUCUUCUGCAUCCGUCGUCGUGAUGGUCGUGCACCACUCCUCAUCCGCACCACGCGUGCACCCGCACUGCACGUGCUCUCGCGCUCGUUGCUGUUGUGGCGUGGGGCAGGUUCUCUUCAUGACGGUUGCCGGCGCUUUUUCUUGGUCAGGAUGGCUCUGCCCGCCUCUCUGCGUGCGUGCGUGCGUGUGACCGUGCACCGUCUAUCUCCGCGUCCUCUGCGGACGUGUGUAUCGCUUUCGUUCUGCCUCUCUCUCUACCGCUCUUCCGUAUUUGCCUCACCGUGCAUCUCCCGCUCGCCCUGCGCGCCCUCGUUCUCUUCGCGUCUUUCUCUCUAUGCUCCUGCAGCUUUUAGAAUUGCGCGUCGCGUGUUGUUUCGCUUUUUUUGUGCUCCGUCACGUAGGAUGUGCCCUUAGCUGCUCACCCCUUUCCCCUUUUCCUUCUCCCUCGACGCGUGUUGUACUGCUGUGUAUGGAUGAGGGCCCUCGCCCUCUGCGCGGCUCUCUUUUCGGUGUGCGCCCUCAUGCUUCUCUCCCGUCUUGCUUGGCCGCGAGGUGGGUUUCCUACCCUCGUCCUUCUCCCUAUCUUGUCGUGGCGUUGAUCUGCACAUGCGUGGGUCGGCUCGUGCAGCGCUGCCGCUGCUGCUGGGCCGGGUUUGUUUCUAUUUUUGUGGUUGCGUCGAGCGCGUAGGAUGAUGAUGAGGCGGUGGCGCUGUGUGUAGCUCCUUCUUUCGCCCCGCCCCCUUUCCCUUUUUUCCUUGUUUCGUUUUCUGUUACCGUCUGCCCGAGUGGCAUGCAUGACGGAUGGCGCAGCGAAGUAGGUGAGGGGGCGGGCAAGCGGAAAGCAGUGGAGGGAGCGGCUUGUUGUUUUGCCACUCUCUCUCCCCCACCCUCGCUCCUCCACCGGACUCUAUCGUUUCGCGUACGCGCAGAUGUGCAUCUAUACGUCUGCCCCCCUUCCUCCCUUCGCGUUGUGUCUUGCGUCUUGCGCUGUUUUCCCUCCUUGUUUUUCAUGCUGUAUGUAUGUAUGUGUGUGUGUGUGUGGUAACAGGACGCGCGCCUACCUCUCGGCGAGUGUUCAUGUGUUGUGCUGCCGUGCUCGUGUUUGAAUCGUCUUCUCCCUUGCCUCCCCUCGCCUUUUAUAUGUGCUGUGUGCUGAGUCUGGCAUCUCUCUCUUCUACGCUUGCAGGUGCGUUGCCUAUUGGUGCUCUUCUUCCCCCCUUCCCCUCCCUCCCGCUGCUCCACAACGUUUAGAAGACGAGCUCGCGUGUGUGUAUGUGCAUGUGUGCACAGUGCCGGGCCCUUGCGGUGGCCCAGGCGGUGCUGCACACUUUUAUGUGUUGUUCCCGUGCCGCCCGCCUCGUCGUCGCCGUUGAUAUAGAAGACGUGUGCACAUCUCUUUAGGAGAGAGUGAGCGCGUGCGGGCGGCGACGACGGCGGGCCCGCGUGCCGGCUCGGCUUCUCUUGCAGGUUUCUUUCCAUGCUCCGCCGUGCGCAAAUGUUUUUUUUUCGUUGUUUUCCUUCUCGUGGACGUGGCCCUCCCCUUCUCGUAUUUCGUUCGCCAACGCGCUUCCGUGCGAGACUUCAACCAGAUGAAAAGCCCGCAUCACCGCAACGCCGAUCACAUCUGCUAUUCGGCCGGUGCGCGCGAGCGCAGCAUUCACCGCGAGACUGCCCUCUCGACGAGAGCCAAAAGCUGCUGAAAGCGAAGACUUCUCAUGGACGUGCCAGCUACGCCAUUGCCGCGUCCGUCACUCGCCGCUCUUGAAGCCGCAGCGUCGGGAAGGCCCCCCACCCCUCUCCAU
rnacentral:misc_RNA from 1 species